AAUCAACGCUGGCGGCGUGCCUCAGACAUGCAAGUCGAACGCGAAAGGCCCCUUCGGGGGCCGAGUAGAGUGGCGUCCGGGUGAGUAACACGUGGGUAAUCUACCUUCGGGUGGGGAAUAACGACCGGAAACGGUCGCUAAUACCGCAUAAUGCAGCGGCACCUAAUGGUGACAGUUGUUAAAGCGGGGGAGUCGCAAGACCUCGCGCCUGAAGAGGAGCCCGCGGCGGAUUAGCUAGUUGGCAGGGUAACGGCCUACCAAGGCGACGAUCCGUAGCCGGCCUGAGAGGGCGGGUCGGCCACACUGGCACUGACACACGGGCCAGACUCCUACGGGAGGCAGCAGUCGGGAAUUUUGGGCAAUGGGCGAAAGCCUGACCCAGCAACGCCGCGUGAAGGAUGAAACUUUUCGGAGUGUAAACUUCAUAAGAAAUGGGACGAAUAAGGGAGGGGUUAACACCCCCUUUGAUGACGGUACCAUUUGUAAGCUCCGGCUAACUCCGUGCCAGCCGCCGCUGUAAG
rnacentral:rRNA from 1 species